UCUCCGUCGGUGAACCAGCGGAGGGAUCAUUACCGAGUUAUCAACUCCCAAACCCCUGUGAACAUACCCAACGUUGCUUCGGCGGGACCGCCCCGGCGCCCUCGGCGUCCCGGAACCAGGCGCCCGCCGGAGGACCCAAACUCUUGUUUAAACCAUAGUGGCAUAUUCUGAGUCUCACAAGAAAAAUGAAUCAAAACUUUCAACAACGGAUCUCUUGGCUCUG
rnacentral:misc_RNA from 1 species